rnacentral:rRNA from 1 species
GGGUGAACCUGCGGAAGGAUCAUUACCUAGAGUUGUAGGCUUUGCCUGCUAUCUCUUACCCAUGUCUUUUGAGUACCUUACGUUUCCUCGGUGGGUUCGCCCACCGAUUGGACAAAUUUAAACCCUUUGCAGUUGAAAUCAGCGUCUGAAAAAACUUAAUAGUUACAACUUUCAACAACGGAUCUCUUGGUUCUGGCAUCGAUGAAGAACGCAGCGAAAUGCGAUAAGUAGUGUGAAUUGCAGAAUUCAGUGAAUCAUCGAAUCUUUGAACGCACAUUGCGCCCCUUGGUAUUCCAUGGGGCAUGCCUGUUCGAGCGUCAUUUGUACCUUCAAGCUCUGCUUGGUGUUGGGUGUUUGUCUCCUGUAGACUCGCCUUAAAACAAUUGGCAGCCGGCGUAUUGAUUUCGGAGCGCAGUACAUCUCGCGCUUUGCACUCAUAACGACGACAUCCAAAAGUACAUUUUUACACUCUUGACCUCGGAUCAGGUAGGGAUACCCGCUGAACUUAAGCAUAUCAAUAA